CCUUCUGUCAGAGGCUUGAAGAAGACAAAAAUUAUCGAGAGCUUUAUGUACACUAUCUCAUCCAUACUCACGGCAGCUCCAAUAUAGGUGAGAUGGUGAGACAGGCUUUAAAAAGCAUAGCGUCAGACAAUGUUCUCUGUCUGUAUAACAGAACGGGGAAAGAUGGGAAGAAGGUGUUGCCACCUGUGCUCCUGACAUGUUUGAAAAAAUGUGUCAGGUCUUUUCACAAACAAAAUGAAAUAGAGGUGAAGAAGCUAAAAGUAACCACCAGAACAACACCAGACGCGGAAUGUAUUCGCCAAGUAGAAAUUUUUUUGUCCAACGCCAACACCAGGCUGAAAAGGAAACCAAAUAAAGGAAAAAGCUGACUUUUUGUUUGUUUGUUUUUAUUGAUGGAAAUAAAGAAUGUGGGUGUAAAAGUUUGAGUUAACUGAAUCAUUUUAGAUAACAGUGAACUAACACAAUUAUUGCAUAGUGGUGUUAUAUGGUGAUCUUACAGUAUGAGCACACAGUGAUCACAGUAUGAGCACACAGUGAG